ensembl:lncRNA
AAGAGGAGGAGGAGGAGGAGGAGGAGGAGGAGGAGGAGGAGGAGGAGGAGGGAGACGAGAAGGUCGAGGAGGAAAAUAAAAUAGAAGAAGUGAAGCCAUGGUGGAGGAGCUCAAGAUACGCAGAAGAAAAGCAGGUACAGGAGGAGGAAGAGGAGGAGGAGGAAGAAACAGAGCAGGAGGAGGAGGAAGACGAGAAGGUGGAGGAGGAGGAAAAUAAAAUAGAAGAAGUGAAGCCAUGGUGGAGGAGCUCGAGAUACACAGAAGAGAAGCAGGUACAGGAGGAGGAAGAGGAGGAGGAGGAAGAAACAGAGCAGGAGGAGGAGGAAGACGAGAAGGUGGAGGAGGAGGAAAAUAAAAUAGAAGAAGUGAAGCCAUGGUGGAGGAGCUCGAGGUAUGCAGGAGAGAAGGAGCAGUUGAAGGAAAAGGAGGAGGAGAAAGAAGAAGAGGACGAGGAGGUGGAAGAGGAGAAGGUGGAGGAAGUGAAAGAGUGGAGGAGGAACUGGAGACAGGCGAGAGAGAAGGAUGAGGAAACUGUGGAGGAGGAGAAGGAGGAUGAGACAGAAGAGGAGGAAGAGGAGAAGGAUGAGGAGACAGACCAGGAGGAGGAGGAAGAGGUGGAAGAGGAGGAGGAGGCAAAUAAAAUAGAAGAAGUGAAGCCAUGGUGGAGGAGCUCGAGAUAUGCAGGAGAAAAAGAGGAAGAGGAGACAGAGAAAGAGGAGAAGGAGGAGGAAGAGACAGAGCAGGAUGAGGAGGAAGAGGAGGAGGAGGAUGGGGAAGAGGAGAAGGUGGAGGAGGUGAAAGAUUGUAGGAGGAAUUGGAGAAAGGCAGGAGAGAAGGAUGAGGAGAUUGAGGAGCAGGGGCAGGAGGAGGAGACAGAGCAGGAGGAGGAGGAAGAUAAAGAGGUGGGGGAGGAAGAUAAACUAGAAGAAGUGGUGCCGUGGUGGAGGAGCUCGAGAUACCAAAGAGAGAAGGAGGAGGUGAAGGAAAAGGAGGAGGAGAAAGAAGAGGAGGAGGUGGAACUGGAGGAUGAGAAAGAAAGGGAGGAUGGGGAAGAGGAGGUGAAGGAGAGGGAGGAAAAUGAUGAAGAGGGAGCAACAGAGGAGAAGGGGAAGGGGGAGGAUCAAUUAGAGGAGAAGAUGAAUGAUUGGAGGAGGAGCUGGAGAUCCCCAGGAGAGGAGGAGGGAGAGGAGAAGGAGGAGGAAGAGGAGGAGGAAGAGGAGGAGGAGGAGGAGACAGAGGAGGAGGAGAAGGAGGAAGAGGAGGAGACAGAGCAGGAUGGGGAGGACGAGGAAGAGGUGGAGGAGGAGGAAAAUAAAAAAGAAGAGGUGGUGCCGUGGUGGAGGAGCUCGAGAUAUGCAAGAGAGAAGGAGAGGGUGAAGGAAAAGGAGGAGGAGAAAGAAGAGGAGGAUGAGAAAGAUGGGGAGGAGGAUGGGGAAGCGGGGAAGGUGGAGGAGGUGAAAGAUGAAGAGGAGACAGAGCAGGAUGAGGAAGAGGAAGAGAAAGAGUUGGAGGAGGCAAAGAUUGAAGAGGAGGAGAAGGAGGAGGAGGCUGAGGAGGAGACAGAGAAGGAUGGGGAGGAAGAGAGAGAGGUGGAGGAGGAGGAAAAUAAACUAGAAGAAGUGGUGCCGUCGUGGUGGAGCUCGAGGUACGCAGGAGAGAAGGAGAGGGUGAAGGAAAAGAAGGAGGACAAAGAAGAGGAGCUGAUGAAAGAGUGGAGGAAGGACUGGAGACAGGCAGGAGAGAAGGUGGAGGAGGAGCACGAGGAGGAGGAGGAAGAGCAGGAUGAGGAGGAAGAGAAAGAGGUGGAGGAGGAAGAGAUUGAAGAGGAGGGGAAGAAGGAGGAGCAAAAUGAUGAAGAGGGAGCAACAGAGGAGGUGGGAAAGGGGGAGGAUUGGAGGAGGAGCUGGAUAUCCCCAGGAGAGGAGGAGGGAGAGGAGGAGGAGGAGGAGGAGGAGGAGGAGGAGGAGGAGGAAGAGACAGAGCAGGUUGAGGAGGAAGAGGAAGAGGUGAAGGAGGAGGAAGAGAUGGAGGAGGAGGAAAAUAAAAUAGAUAAGGUACAGGUGCAGGAAGAGGAGGUGAAGGUUGAGCUGGAGGAGGUGAAGGAGGAGGAUGAGACAGAUGGGGAUGAGGUUAAUGAGGAGGUGACGGAGGGUGAGAUGAAGCAGUGGUGGAGGAGCUGGAGAUUCGCAGGAAUGGUGAAGGAGGUGAAGGUUGAAAAGGAGAACGAAGAGGAGGUGAAUGAGUGGAGGAAGAGCUGGAGAAACACUGUAGAGGAGGAGGAGGAAGAGGAGGAGGAGGAGGAGGAGGAGGGAGAGGUGGAGGAGAAGCUAGAAGAGGAGAAGGUUGAGCAGGAGGAGGGGAGGGUAGAGGAUGCUGAUGAGGAGACAGAUGAGGAAGAGGUUCAGGAAAAGCAAGAUGAGGGAGAGGUGAAGGAGCAGGUGAAGGGGGAAGAGAUGGUGAAGGAAGAGGAAGAUGAAGAGGAGGAGGACUCAAAUGAGGAGGAAGAGGUAAAGGAGGAGGAGGUGAAGGUUACGGUAGAGGAGGUAGAUGAGGUUAGGGUGGAGCAGGAGAAGGAUAAUGAUGAAGAGGAGGAGACUGAUGAGGAGGAAGAGGUGAAGGUUGAGGUAGAGGAGGUAGAUGAGGUUAAUGUGGAGCAGGAGGAGGAGGACUAUAAAGAGGUGGAAGAGGUGAAGGAUGAGCAGGAUGAGGUAGAGGAGGAGGGUGAUGAAGAGGAGGAGACAGAUGAGGAGGAAGAGGGAGGUGAGGUGAAGGUUGAGCAGGAGGAGGAGGAUGAAGAGGAGGAGACAGAUGAGGAGGAAGAGGAGAAGGAGAAGUUAGGGAAGAUGAAUGGGUCGGAGGAGUUGAAGGAGGGAGAUAAAGCAGAGGAAGGGGAGGUAGAUGAGAUAAAGGACAGGACGAGGAGAUCGAGAAACUCAGGAGGGAUGCAGGAGGUGGAGGUAGAGGAGGAAGAAGUGUUUGAGGAUGCGAUGGAAGAGUUUGAGGAUGCGAAAGAAGGGCAUGGCAUAGAUGCUGAGAAAGACGAGGAAGUAGAGGAGACAAAACAGUGGGAAAACUCUUAAUGUGAUUGUCCUCAUAUGUAUAAUAAAUUCCUAUUUAAUUGUAUCAUUCACAUUUAUAUAACAUGAAAGUAUAUUGUAUUUUUGUGUUCCCGUAUACAGUAGUAUGUUCCUGUAUGAGAUUUGUAUUAUUUAUAUUAAUUAUUUUAUGAUAUGUGUUAUAAUGAUAUUUCCCAGUUAAAUUGUUUUUUUUAAGUUACUUAUUGAUAUAUUAAUGAUAAUGUUGAAUAAUGCAAAGUAUGAUUAUUGUUGGAUUCCCUUCGGACAAAAACUUUGAAAACUAGAAAGAAUUAUUCAAGGGUUAAUUCUUCAAGUCUAGAGUGUUAAGAAAUUACUUUCAGUCGAUAAAAACUGUCUUAAUUAAAACUUUUUAUUGAAA